UACGUAGGGGGCAAGCGUUGUCCGGAAUCAUUGGGCGUAAAGCGCGUGUAGGCGGCUCGGUAAGUCCGCUCUGAAAGUCCAGGGCUCAACCCUGGGAUGCGGGUGGAUACUGCCGGGCUCGAGUCCGGAAGAGGCGAGUGGAAUUCCCGGUGUAGCGGUGAAAUGCGCAGAUAUCGGGAGGAACACCAAUGGCGAAGGCAGCUCGCUGGGACGUGACUGACGCUGAGGUGCGAAAGCGUGGGGAGCGAACAGG
rnacentral:rRNA from 1 species